GGAAAUUGCGAGUUGUGUCCCGCAGUUAAUAGUGGGUUGUAUUGCUGCUGCUCGCUGCAAUGUCUGAGCUUUUGUUGCUAUGAUUUUCCCAUUUCUUCCUACCAGCAGUGUGUUGGCUGGUUUUUAAACUCCAUAGUUGCUUCAGUGAUACACGCUUUAAUGUAUUCCUUUUUCACUUUUACAGUUCAUGUAUUCACCGAAAAUUUUGCGCUUACCUUACUUCGUCUUUAUAUAACGUCAAUAGUAAUAUAGUACUUAAAAGAUAGGAGCUUCAAUGUGUGCUGUUUAAUUGAAAUUUUGUUCUAAGCUUCAUUAUUCAUUAUGUGAGAGGUCACAGCCAUCC
rnacentral:lncRNA from 1 species